rnacentral:rRNA from 1 species
GCCGAGGACAAGCUUCUUUGUGAGGGUUGAUGAGACAUUGGACAAGACCCCAAGACGGGCGCUGAGCAAAAGCAUUCAACCUUUUGGAUUCGUGUCCACCGACAGUUUCAUGAGCGCAAGAAGUUUCCGCCAUACCAAUUUGUGAGCACGUGCGGGUGGGUCUCCAUUUCCAAUCGGUGGAGGGUGAUCCAACAAUGCAACAAGUUUUGCGCCACUCUUGAGAGCAUCAAGGCCCGCCCCGUGAGCGGCAUCGGCAUGCAAGACAUGGUAUGCUAG